rnacentral:lncRNA from 10 species
AAUUCUUGGUUGGGCCAGAGGCUAAUUCAUCAGGGGAAAUACAGGACAGACGGGGCACCUGGCAACUUGGAAAUUCCUACCAACUCAGCUUUGUUUUUAUCUUUUGGAUUUUUAAAAUUUUAAUCAACAAACUACUGAAUUUUGGAAACUGUAUUUUGAACUUCAGACUGAUAAUUUAAGUCUUGGGGGCUGUGAUUUUGGCAGGCCCUCUUAUAUUAGAGUUACCAUCUGAUUGAAGCUUACCCUGAGAUUCUGGUCUCCAAGGACCAUGUGGUGGUCACAUCUGCCAACUGGGUCGUUGGUGGCAUUUGUCAAGGACGUAACUAGCUCUUGCAGCUGCUCCUGUUUCAACCUCCAUUUCUUUCACUAGUCUUGUGGUUAACCGGUCCCUGGGUGCUUCAGUUAGGCGUGCCAACUGGGGACUUGCUGUUGGGCUGGAGGAAUGGGCAGAGGGAGCGAUGGCUCACCGCAUCUCUGGGGACGGUGUAGCCCACAGGCACUUGUUGAGUGCCCUCUAUGCACCAGGCCUUGCCCUGCACUGGAGAUAGGGAGGGGAGUAGAUGUACCAUGGCCCUUCUGAGGAGAGGGGAGACAGAAACACAAGGAUGGCAAUUCAGAGCACUUGCUGCAUAGGAGGCCUGGCUCCUCUCCUCACACAGCCCUCCUAGUCCUCUGAGGUGGGCAGAGGCAAGUCGUAAGUGAAUUUUAUUUUUGAGCCAUUGGACACUUCUGAGCAAAAGAGGGAAAUGAUCUGACAGGAAUGCUCUCAAAGGAUCCCUCUGGCUGCUUGGUG